ACACUGUGAUGACAAGAGUCUGUCCCUCUGACCUGAGCACACUCGUGGGGGCUGACUUAACGCCAGCUCUCACUGCAGUGUUUUCUCCCCACAGGAAGGCAGGGACCCAGGACAGGCAUGCAAAGCACCUAGCCAGCAAUCGAAUGCUUGAUGAGGCCGGCCUUCAGCAAGCAACACACAGGUUGCAGAGGGGAGCAGUGUGAGUGAGUGCUUGUCUCCCCCAUCAGGGCUUGAACGUGUCUGCUCAACUCCCAAGUCCAGCGUUCUGAAGAUCCACUUAAACAGGGACUGGAGUCAAAACGACUGUCAGUGAGUAAGUACAGUGGUGAGGGAGGCAAAGAGCGUGCACACAUGCCAGAGAUGGCAGGUGCAGAAGGAAUGGCUUGGAAUAAGACCUGUGUUCCGAUUCUUGUCCUGGUGAGGCUGUGAUAAACAAUCAUAAUGACCUCUUUCCCUCCAGAGAUGGGGGAUGAGGGGGCCUGCUGAGCAGCUGCACAGUGCUGGAUCUGAUUCGGGAGCCAUAGCUGCAGGAAAAGAUGCCGAGGAGAGUGGUGCUCACACCUCCAGGUACUGGAAGCACACUCUGUGUAAGGCACAGUGCUGAGCACUUUCCACCCAGCCUCACUCAGCCAGCCCCAUGAUGCUAUGGGUGGGCAGUUAUUUCCCCGUUUUAGGAUAAGGGUGGAUGCUCAGAGGGCAAGUCAGAGCUGUUCAAGGUCAUCAAGCCAAGAGUGGCAGGAUUGGAACACACACCCAGAUGCUUGCUCUAAAGCGAGCAUGGCCUAAUUCUCACACUACCUUGACGGGCCUGCAGAGGAAGGGCCCAGGGCUAGAGGCAGGCUCUGGGGACCUCUGGACUCUGGGUGGGGCCAAGGGAAAGGCGUGGACUCUGGGGAGGGACUGGGCAGUGCGCCAGCCGGUGGGCGGGGCCUCACAGAAGGCUCGGCUGGCUCCCCCAGCAGCUGGCGCCAGUUUCCCAGGAAGAGGCUGUGGGGCAGACAGAGCCUGCCCACCUCCCCCCAACUGCCAGUGCCCUCCCAAAGGCAGAGAGAAACCCUACGCCAGGCAUCAGGUGACAGGCAGAGAGAUGCUGCUUGUCCGACCGGCUGUCCCUCCUUCCUUGGUCUCUCAUUUGCACGCAGGCUCCAGGAGUGGACAGGGGACCUGCCCACAGCCCAGCACAGUGAUGGGUCUAGGACAAGAAGCUGACCCAGCCCAGCCAGUCCCAGGGCCCAUGCUGGAACUGUAAGGAAAGAAAAGCUCUCUUCCCGUACUGGGCGGCUGAGAUGGCCUCCCAUUUCUGGAGCUGCUGGCAGCCACCCUGGCACCCACCAAGACAGCCUUCUGAAAACAAAGCCGACUCAGAGAAAAGGUUACCUCUCAGCUUCUCCAGGAAGCCCUCUGGUCUUCCUCAUCUCAGCCCUGCCCACUCGUGACCUGUCACUGUCUGGAGAUCUGUCUCUCCCCCUGGACUAAGAGCCCCCAAAAGACAGCCUGGAGGUUGCAGUGCAUGCUGUGCCCCCAACACUGCCCAGCACGCAUCCAAUCCAGGUGCACAGAAGGCAUCAAGACAGGGUGAGGAGCGACAGAGGAGCUCACAUCUGGCUGCUGCACGAGGCCCUAGGGGUGGCUGGGGCGUGCUGGCCAGGAGGGACCAUCUGCUCCAUGUGGAAAAAGGCGGUGGGGGCUGGGCUGAGUGACUGAGGCCCGCUGACUGAGGAAGCCUGGAGGGAGGCACGGAGGGAGUGUACGGAUCACGCCAGGCUGGAAACUGCAGAGCUCAGGAGAUGGCACCUUCCCCAGCACAGUGGCCCAUGGGACUGACACGAUGGUGGCAACAGUGGUGCCCAGCACAGUGUGUUCCUGAGCCACACCAGCUCCACAUGCUGCUCGAGGACUAGCUCCCCUAGGAGGAAAGGGGUCUACCGCCCGGCUGCCUGUCCCUGCCCAGGGGGGCUGAGGCAAUCCCCAGGUGGCAUGCAUGGGUUUGCCCCUUCUGAAAUGCAUGCCCAGGAAACCUGGUGAGGGCCUGCAGGGAGACUUCAAGCAGGUCCUUCACUAGAGGACAACCCACUGCCCUUGCAGUCCCAGCCUCCAGAGAAGAGGCAGGCACAUAAUAUACUUACUGUGGCUAUCUGUCCCUGCUGUGGGAUGGCAAUGGGCCUGCCUCCCCAGGCACCCCGUCCCCAGCUCCUACCUUGUUUGUUCUGGCCUCCAGGUCUGCAACUGCUAUUUCCCAGGCCCGGAAAGCUUUCCUGCCCCUCCUUCAGCUCCCUAACUUGUCCUUCAGGUCUCAGCUGAAACGUCACUUCCUUGGAGAAGCCCUCCGUGACCCCUUUCUAAAUCAGCAUCCCCACCCCACACUGCCCCAUCACUCUACGCCAUGUCUGUCUGUCUCCUUGUGUGACACCAUCUGUAUCUGUUGUUUACCCUGCCCUGGACCAAGGGCUCCCUGAGACUAGGGAUAUCACUGCUUGGUCUCAACUAAUGGCUGUGAAGGAAUGAAUGAGAUGACUUGCUUUGUGAACUGAACAGUCUUCCUUCCUCUCCCCAAAGAACCACGGGACUACCCCCAGACAGGAUGGCCAGUCCUUUCCUCUCAGGCCCCCGUGUCCCUCCCCAGGCCUGCUGAGGGGCUGUGAUGCCCACAGCUGCUGGGUGUGAAGAGGGUUCUUCCCUGUCCCCUACUGAGGAAAGUGGCAUGCCGCCUGCCGGGACACAAACUGCAGAACGGCCACCUGCAGGGGCUGGCCUGGGCUUAUGCGACCAGCCAAGCCUGUGGGAGGACCCGCCCACUCCAGCAAAGGGACAAGAGCCCACCCCAACCCCUCAGGCAGACCUUCCAAGCCACCAGGCCCAACUGAAGAUCCUGUUACAGAAACACAUGCAGUCAGAGGAAGCCUACGACUUCCCAAGUCUCCUGGGGCAGAAGGGACCAGGCAGAUCACACAGGACUUACCCUGGGCCCACCACAGAGCCUCCCACACAGGGUGAUCAAGCCAGUGGUGUGCUCUUGAAUGAACUGGGAAGUCAAGGCCUCAAUCCCUGGGUCCCCAGUAGCACUGUGUACUAAGCACCUGAGUUCUAGCUGUGUAACAGGCACCUUUUAAUUCUAAGCCAUUAAUACUGACAACAGCCAAUACUUAAACAGCACUUUACAUGUACUACCUUGUUUACUGCUUCAACAACCCUAUGACGUACGAUUUAUUUUCCCUGUUUUACAAAUGGGGAAACUGAGGUGGGGGCA